AAAUAAACCCAAGGACGAAAGAAUGGUGAGACUAGUUCUUCCUCUGUUUUUAAAAACAGACGUUUUGAAAAAGUUCUGCCUUAAAAUCUGUUUUUCAUUUAUGGAACAGUAAUCUACGCGUUAAUAUGAUAAUGCCAUUUAUGUAUUGAACCUCUGCACGUCAUGUGAGCUUCGUCUUAUCACCAAUGUUAUGGAUUUCAAGGUUAUCGAGAACAAGGGCUAAUGGAAGGACAAUGGCAUCUGAAAUGGUAGUCCUGUCGCUUUUUAGGGAUGGAUAUAAAAUCAAACGACUCCUCAUCUCCAGGGCCAUAUUUAUCAAUAAUGGCAUCUACCAAUGAGGCCAUGAUCUAUUGGUAUUUGUCUGCGAAACUGAUGGUCUGAAAAAUUUCUUCAAUGCAAGAUAGAGUGCCUGGUGCGUGAUAAAUCCACAUCAAACUGAAACAUGGCAGGAUCGGGAGAUGACUCAUUGGAGCAGUAUCUAGAACUACGUUUAGCGACGGGUCUUCUAUCGUUUGCUUGCACAACUGUUUCUAUAUAUAUAAAUAUAAACAAUAUUAAUCAAAGCCAUAAUUAAUUCAAGUCAUGACCAUACCUCCUCGCCACUGUAAGUAUACAGUAAACUUUAAUAGCCUUAUCAGCUGUUGUGGGUAUAUUGAAAGUAGAACACACAUAUAUAAUGUAUAUAUUCGAUUUCAAAAUAUCUCUACCCAGAGUUGUCGUUCCUUGCUCUCACUUACACCCAGAGUUGUCGUUCCUUGCUCCCCACUUGCACCUCUGUCAACGUCUCGACGGUUUUACCAUCUUCUUUACAAGAUUUUUGUAAAAUGGCACGUAUGUUCAAAGAAAGUAUGGUUUUUACUUCAGUUACAAAAAUAUACGUAAAUAAAAUAAAUAUUGAGCAAAUGUCAAGUCUUUUUGUGACACAAAAAGCAUCGAUUUUGGGUUGAAACGUGGAUCAGGUCUCAUACAUGUAUAGGUACAUGAAGAGUAUAUAUAGUAAUGGAAAAAAUCUAUAAAUAUAGUUUCUUGUCCUACAUUUUCCCAAUAUUUUAUAAAGUAGUUCUUUUAUUAGCCGUAAAAAAAAAAGUGGAUUUAUAUGUGGAAUAACAUUGCUUAUUUUGAGACGUUAACAGAGGUAUAUGCAUGUACAUGUACAUAUGAGAUUGAUAAAUCCACAAGUUGAGGCUUUAUAAAAUUAUCUAAGUCUAAGAUCAGUUUAUGGUAUCUUUAAACCAUUAACAACACAAAUAUAUGUAGUUUCCGGUCUCAAUGAUUCAAUUUUUUCCUGAACAAAAACACCACACUCCUGGUUUUUGUUUUAGGCCUAAAAAGGAUUAUUUCUUGGUCAAAAGGUUGUUUUUUUAUUGGUUUUAUUUUAUCAUUAUUAUUAUUAUCAUCUUCAGAUGUUUUAAAAUAAAUGAUUUAUAUUUCAUGAUAAUUAGAGCAAGAAUGAAUUCAGAAUAAAUUUUCACACUAAGUGUAUUUUUCAAUAAAACAUAUAAAAUUUGCGUAAGACACGUUCAAGUUCCCAAAGAUAUUUAACACAUUUGUUUGUUUUGUAAUUAUGUAAAGAAGUAAAUAAGAUAUAAUCAUUUUUUCACUACUUUUUUCUUUAAAAGAUCGUAAAAUUGUUUAAUUUUGAAAAAUGGUUUUACAAUAGUCACGGAUUUAUUUUCUCUCAGAAUUAUAGGUUUGUUAUAGCGAUCCGUUUCUAUAUAUACAACCUGAUCAAUGUGCACACCCUUAAUACUUUAAUAUUAGAUAAAAAUGUAAACAAUGCAUGCAAAAUAGAAAACACAAAUAUGAAUAUUAUACUAUGUGGAAAUAUUCUUUAACUGUAAAAUUAUUCACACACGUAGAUUUCAAAUUAAUUACAAAUCCUAUGUAGUUUUGUACAAAUAGGCCUACACGUCCUGUUCGAUCAGGGCUCAGCCUGCUGCACAAUCCCAUCAAUUCUUUGAAUAUAUAUUAUUGGUUAAAUGAUCUAGUUAUUAUCGAUGUCCACCUUCUACUUUGGGGUAAUAAUGCUUUAUCUUCUGAGUUAAACAAGUGUAUUUUUUCUUCUGUUCAGUCGUUUAUUUAUGAAACCAAAAGAUUCAAUUGAUGUUCAAUUUAUAUUUUUUGUACAUUAAUUUUCUACAAUAAUAUAUUGUUAUAUUUUUAAGGAGAAGAACUCGUAAGUUAUUUGAACUUGUUUCUGAUCCUUUUGUAUAUCAUGUAUGUACAAUAAAAUAUGUUCAAAAUAGA